rnacentral:rRNA from 1 species
UACGUAGGUGGCAAGCGUUAUCCGGAAUUACUGGGCGUAAAGCGCACGCAGGCUGUCUUUUAAGUUUGACGUGAAAGCUCCCGGCUUAACUGGGAGAGGUCGUUGAAUACUGGAAGACUUGAGGAAAUGAGAGGGGUGUAGAAUUCCUGGUGUAGUGGUGGAAUGCGUAGAUAUCAGGAGGAAUACCAGUGGCGAAAGCGGCACCCUAGCAUUUUUCUGACGCUCAUGUGCGAAAGCGUGGGGAGCGAACGGG